rnacentral:rRNA from 1 species
UUAUGGACCCACCUGAUCCCAUGCCGAACUCAGAAGUGAAACGUAAUAGCGCCGAUGGUAGUGUGGGGUCUCCCCAUGUGAGAGUAGGACAUCGCCAGGC